rnacentral:rRNA from 1 species
GAUGAACGCUGGCGGCGUGCCUAAUACAUGCAAGUCGAGCGAACAGACGAGGAGCUUGCUCCUCUGACGUUAGCGGCGGACGGGUGAGUAACACGUGGAUAACCUACCUAUAAGACUGGGAUAACUUCGGGAAACCGGAGCUAAUACCGGAUAACAUGUUGAACCGCAUGGUUCAACAGUGAAAGACGGUCUUGCUGUCACUUAUAGAUGGAUCCGCGCCGCAUUAGCUAGUUGGUAAGGUAACGGCUUACCAAGGCAACGAUGCGUAGCCGACCUGAGAGGGUGAUCGGCCACACUGGAACUGAGACACGGUCCAGACUCCUACGUGAGGCAGCAGUAGGGAAUCUUCCGCAAUGGGCGAAAGCCUGACGGAGCAACGCCGCGUGAGUGAAGAAGGUCUUCGGAUCGUAAAACUCUGUUAUUAGGGAAGAACAAAUGUGUAAGUAACUAUGCACGUCUUGACGGUACCUAAUCAGAAAGCCACGGCUAACUACGUG